GCCGAAGUAGCUCAGUUCGGAGAGUGUUAGACUGAAGAUUUAAAGGUCCCUUGUUCAAUCCCAGGUUUCGGCA